rnacentral:rRNA from 1 species
UACGAAGGGGGCUAGCGUUGCUCGGAAUCACUGGGCGUAAAGCGCACGUAGGCGGAUCGUUAAGUCAGGUGUGAAAUCUCGGGGCUCAACCCCGAAACUGCAUUUGAUACUGUGGUGCUCGAGUACUGGAGAGGAGAUUGGAAUUUACGGUGUAGCAGUGAAAUGCGUAGAUAUCGUAAGGAAGACCAGUGGCGAAGGCGAAUCUCUGGGCAGUUACUGACACUGAGGCACGAAGGCCAGGGGAGCAAACGGG